UUUAUGGAGAGUUUGAUCCUGGCUCAGAGUGAACGCUGGCGGCGUGCCUAAUACAUGCAAGUCGAACGAUGAAGCUUCUAGCUUGCUAGAAUGCUGAUUAGUGGCGCACGGGUGAGUAACGCAUAGGUCAUGUGCCUCUUAGUUUGGGAUAGCCAUUGGAAACGAUGAUUAAUACCAGAUACUCCCUACGGGGGAAAGAUUUAUCGCUAAGAGAUCAGCCUAUGUCCUAUCAGCUUGUUGGUAAGGUAAUGGCUUACCAAGGCUAUGACGGGUAUCCGGCCUGAGAGGGUGAACGGACACACUGGAACUGAGACACGGUCCAGACUCCUACGGGAGGCAGCAGUAGGGAAUAUUGCUCAAUGGGGGAAACCCUGAAGCAGCAACGCCGCGUGGAGGAUGAAGGUUUUAGGAUUGUAAACUCCUUUUGUUAGAGAAGAUAAUGACGGUAUCUAACGAAUAAGCACCGGCUAACUCCGUGCCAGCAGCCGCGGUAAUACGGAGGGUGCAAGCGUUACUCGGAAUCACUGGGCGUAAAGAGCGCGUAGGCGGGAUAGUCAGUCAGGUGUGAAAUCCUAUGGCUUAACCAUAGAACUGCAUUUGAAACUACUAUUCUAGAGUGUGGGAGAGGUAGGUGGAAUUCUUGGUGUAGGGGUAAAAUCCGUAGAGAUCAAGAGGAAUACUCAUUGCGAAGGCGACCUGCUGGAACAUCACUGACGCUGAUUGCGCGAAAGCGUGGGGAGCAAACAGGAUUAGAUACCCUGGUAGUCCACGCCCUAAACGAUGGAUGCUAGUUGUUGGAGGGCUUAGUCUCUCCAGUAAUGCAGCUAACGCAUUAAGCAUCCCGCCUGGGGAGUACGGUCGCAAGAUUAAAACUCAAAGGAAUAGACGGGGACCCGCACAAGCGGUGGAGCAUGUGGUUUAAUUCGAAGAUACACGAAGAACCUUACCUAGGCUUGACAUUGAGAGAAUCCGCUAGAAAUAGUGGAGUGUCUAGCUUGCUAGACCUUGAAAACAGGUGCUGCACGGCUGUCGUCAGCUCGUGUCGUGAGAUGUUGGGUUAAGUCCCGCAACGAGCGCAACCCCCUUUCUUAGUUGCUAACAGGUCAUGCUGAGAACUCUAAGGAUACUGCCUCCGUAAGGAGGAGGAAGGUGGGGACGACGUCAAGUCAUCAUGGCCCUUACGCCUAGGGCUACACACGUGCUACAAUGGGGUGCACAAAGAGAAGCAAUACUGCGAAGUGGAGCCAAUCUUCAAAACACCUCUCAGUUCGGAUUGUAGGCUGCAACUCGCCUGCAUGAAGCUGGAAUCGCUAGUAAUCGCAAAUCAGCCAUGUUGCGGUGAAUACGUUCCCGGGUCUUGUACUCACCGCCCGUCACACCAUGGGAGUUGUGUUUGCCUUAAGUCAGGAUGCUAAAUUGGCUACUGCCCACGGCACACACAGCGACUGGGGUGAAGUCGUAACAAGGUAACCGUAGGUGAACCUGCGGUUGGAUCACCUCCUUUCUAGA
rnacentral:rRNA from 1 species